UACGUAGGGUGCAAGCGUUGUUCGGAAUCAUUGGGCGUAAAGCGCGUGUAGGUGGUUAUGUAAGUCGGGUGUGAAAUCCCUGGGCUCAACCGAGGAAGUGCAUCCGAAACUACAUAGCUAGAGGACGGUAGAGGAAGGUGGAAUUCCUAGUGUAGAGGUGAAAUUCGUAGAUAUUAGGAGGAAUACCGGUGGCGAAGGCGGCCUUCUGGGCCGUUCCUGACACUGAGACGCGAAAGCGUGGGUAGCAAACAGG
rnacentral:rRNA from 1 species